AGUGACAAGGGGAUGAGGUAGCGUGGAUCUCUAUUCCUUGAGGGCAGAGGAAACCUCAAGGCAUAGAGAUCCAUGCUACCAUAUCUUGUAUCACU